UCGGAUUGUAGUCUGCAACUCGACUACAUGAAGCUGGAAUCGCUAGUAAUCGCGAAUCAGAAUGUCGCGGUGAAUACGUUCCCGGGUCUUGUACACACCGCCGUCACACCAUGGGAGUCAGUAACGCCCGAAGCCGGUGACCCAACCAAACGGAGGGAGCCGUCGAAGGUGGGACCGAUAACUGGGGUGAAGUCGUAACAAGGUAAC
rnacentral:rRNA from 1 species